rnacentral:rRNA from 1 species
UACGGGGGGGGGCAAGCGUUGUUCGGAAUUACUGGGCGUAAAGGGCUCGUAGGCGGCCAACUAAGUCGGACGUGAAAUCCCUCGGCUCAACCGGGGAACUGCGUCCGAUACUGGAUGGCUUGAGUUCGGGAGAGGGAUGCGGAAUUCCAGGUGUAGCGGUGAAAUGCGUAGAUAUCUGGAGGAACACCGGUGGCGAAGGCGGCAUCCUGGACCGACACUGACGCUGAGGAGCGAAAGCCAGGGGAGCAAACGGG